rnacentral:rRNA from 1 species
GUAGUUAGCCGGGGCUUUCUUACAGGGUACCGUCACUUCUUCGUCCCCUGCGACAGAGGUUUACAAUCCGAAAACCUUCUUCCCUCACGCGGCGUUGCUGGGUCAGGCUUGCGCCCAUUGCCCAAUAUUCCCCACUGCUGCCUCCCGUAGGAGUCUGGACCGUGUCUCAGUUCCAGUGUGGCCGAUCAGCCUCUCAGCUCGGCUACCCAUCGUCGGCUUGGUGGGCUGUUAUCUCACCAACUACCUAAUGGGACGCGAACCCCUCUAAAAGCGAUAAAUCUUUGACCUCUUCCCGAUGCCGGGUUGUGGUCUUAUGCGGUAUUAGCAGUUGUUUCCACCUGUUAUUCCCCACUCUUAGGCAGGUUGUUCACGCGUUACUCACCCGUGCGCCACUCGGGAAUGACCGAAGCCAUUCCCUCGUUCGACUUGCAUGGGUUAGGCACGCCGCCAGCGUUCGUCCUGAGCCAGAAUCGAACCCUGA